GUCUUUUUGAUUAUAAUUUAAGGUUUAAUCUGCUCAGUGAUUAUUUAAAUUGCCGCAGUAUUUUGACUGUGCAAAGGUAGCAUAAUAAUUAGUUUCUUUAUUGGGAACUGGAAUGAAUGAUUGGACGAGAAAAUUUCUGUCUCUUUAUUAUUUUAAUUGAAUUUUACUUUUAAGUUAAAAGGCUUAAAUUUGUUUAAAGGACGAGAAGACCCUAUAGAGUUUUAUUUUUAUUUAGUUAAUUAUUUUUAGUAUUUUAAAUGUUAAUUUUAUAAUAAUUUAGUUGGGGUGACUAGAAGAUAAGAUAAACUCUUUUAAUUUUAAAUCAAUUAUUUUUGAUUAUAAAAUCUUUAUUUUUAAUUUUAAAAUAAAUUACCUUAGGGAUAACAGCGUAAUUCUUUUUAAAAGUUCUUAUUGAAAGAAGAGUUUGCGACCUCGAUGUUGGAUUAAAAUUAAUUUUAGGUGUAGAAGCUUGAAUAUUAAGCCUGUUCGACUUUUAAAAUU
rnacentral:rRNA from 1 species